rnacentral:rRNA from 1 species
AACGAACGCUGGCGGCGUGCCUAACACAUGCAAGUCGAACGAGAAAGGGGCUUCGGCUCCGAGUAAAGUGGCGCACGGGUGAGUAACACGUGGGUAACCUGCCUCUAAGAUUGGGAUAACUCGUCGAAAGAUGAGCUAAUACCGAAUAAGACCACAGUUUCUGCGGGGACAGAGGUCAAAGGUAGCCUCUGCUUGCAAGCUAUCACUUAGAGAUGGGCCUGCGCACCAUUAGCUAGUUGGUAGGGUAACGGCCUACCAAGGCAAAGAUGGUUAGCUGGUCUGAGAGGAUGAUCAGCCACACUGGAACUGAGACACGGGCCAGACUCCUACGGGAGGCAGCAGGGGGGAAUAUUGCGCAAUGGGCGAAAGCCUGACGCAGCAGCGCCGCGUGAGUGAUGAAGGCCUUCGGGUCGUAAAGCUCUGUCGGGAGGAACGAAUGCUCCUGAGGUUAACAGCCUCGGGAGGUGACGGUACCUUCAAAGGAAGCACCGGCUAACUCUGUGCCAGCAGCCGCCGCCGUAA